rnacentral:lncRNA from 1 species
GUUUUCUUUUCUGAAGCUAAACAUAUCUCGUCGCAUAUUUUGCAGGAUUCACCAUGUGAAGACAGAUUCACGUCUUUAAAUUGCAUCGAUAUCGAUGAACAUGGAAGCAACGCGACUGAAGCUCAUCAUCCGAGUCCAAAUUCAGUCCUGGAAACAGACAAUUUAUCAAUCGAUGAAUACGGUGACAAAUUUAGCACUGAUCUCCAUGGUUUGUAUUUGAAACUUCAGAUUCUGAAAUCAGAAUCGGAAGAAAACCAAUCUAAACCUGAAAUCGUUACAUCAAGUGACGAGGAUGCUGCCGAAACCGAAAGAUGCUUCGGACCAAAAGAAAGUCAAGAAUUUUCGUACCUUGUCAACGUGCUCGAUGAAAUUGAAAGUUUCGAAAGAUGGCAUUCCGUCGAACACAUUGUGAGCCCCUUGAUUUUUGAAACAUUAGAGAAGAAAUACGGGAAGCAAGAGUCGUGGAAUAAGGCGGAUAGGCGGUUG